GAGCGUGAAUCGGAUGUACUGGGCGUAAAGCGUGUGUAGGUGGUUAUUCAAGUCAGUUGUGAAAUCCCCGGGCUUAACCUGGGAACUGCUUCUGAGACUGAGUGACUAGAGUACGGUAGAGGGUGGUGGAAUUUCCGGUGUAGCGGUGAAAUGCGUAGAUAUCGGAAGGAACAUCAAUGGCGAAGGCAGCCACCUGGGCCUGUACUGACACUGAGACACGAAAGCGUGGGGAUCAAACAGG
rnacentral:rRNA from 1 species